rnacentral:rRNA from 1 species
CGUACGACGAGUUUGAUCCCUGGCUCAAGAACGAACGCUGGCGGCAUGCCUAACACAUGCAAGUCGAACGAGACCUUCGGGUCUAGUGGCGCACGGGUGCGUAACACGUGGGAAUUUGCCUCGGGGUAUGGAAUAACUCAGGGAAACUUGAGCUAAUACCAUAUAAUGUCUUCGGACCAAAGAUUUAUCGCCCUGAGAUAAGCCCGCGUAGGAUUAGCUAGUUGGUGAGGUAAAGGCUCACCAAGGCGACGAUCCUUAGCUGGUCUGAGAGGAUGAUCAGCCACACUGGGACUGAGACACGGCCCAGACUCCUACGGGAGGCAGCAGUGGGGAAUAUUGGACAAUGGGCGAAAGCCUGAUCCAGCAAUGCCGCGUGAGUGAUGAAGGCCUUCGGGUUGUAAAGCUCUUUUACUCGGGACGAUAAUGACGGUACCGAGAGAAUAAGCCCCGGCUAACUCCGUG